CCUACGGGAGGCUGCAGUGGGGAAUAUUGCACAAUGGGGGAAACCCUGAUGCAGCGACGCCGCGUGAGUGAAGAAGUAUUUCUGUAUGUAAAGCUCUAUCAGCAGGGAAGAAGCACGACGGUACCUGACUCAGAAGCCCCGGCUAACUACGUGCCAGCAGCCGCGGUAAUACGUAGGGGGCAAGCGUUAUCCGGAUUUACUGGGUGUAAAGGGAGCGUAGACGGUAUGGCAAGUCUGAAGUGAAAGCCCAGGGCUUAACCCUGGGACUGCUUUGGAAACUGUUAGACUAGAGUGCUGGAGAGGAAGGUGGAAUGCCUGGUGUAGCGGUGAAAUGCGUAGAUAUAAGGAGGAACACA
rnacentral:rRNA from 1 species